UUAGUAUUGUUGAAAUUGAUAUCCCUAAAGAACUAAAGAAAGAUCCAGCAGGGGCACAGUAGAGCAGCCUUUACCACACUGCCCUGCCACAGUGCCUCAGCCAUGCUCUGAGGGACCACUUCUAGACUAAGAGCACAUCACAUUUCAUAGCCACGGAGUUCUUGAUCUU
rnacentral:sRNA from 1 species